CUGGGAAGUGCCUAUUGUUGUUGCCUCUGGCAAUAAAUUCCCCUGUGCAAGUUCUUUGCUGAGCUGGUUUAUGGCACCAAUUGCAAUCACGGCAGGUAAGGGAGGAAAGUUGGAAAUAAAGGCAGAGGGGAGCAGGUAUUUGGCUGGCUCCAGCAUGUUUUAUUCAGCCUUUUACCAAUGCCUUCAUCUUUGCACUGAGUAUCCACAUUUCUCUCAAGCUGCUAAAAUUGAUUUAAAGCUGAAAAGAUAAGAAAAUGGACAAGACAUAUUUUCAAAUUGCAAUUGAAGGAAAAUACCACAUCUUUUCAAAGGAACCACCCCCCGCCUGUUUGUCUGCAGCCAAAGCUUUGCAGUGAGGAGAAAAUGCAGCACAGCCAGGAGUGUCCUGGGCUCCAGAAAGCAUUUCAGCCUGUGGAGGUCAUAAACCUUUUCCCAGGUCUGAAAAUCCUGUUGGUAAAGAAGAGUGGAGAUGCCUGCACUGGGGCAAAUAAAACUAUCAAUAUGCACCCCAAGAAAUCUGUUGAUAGAAGAAAAUGACUCUUGAAUAGGUAAUGAGGAUUUCUCUUUUGUGGGCUGGGCAGAGCAGCUCUGGCAGUGAUUAAAGCAGCAAGAGUGCAGCAAUCCUCGCAGCUGUUAAAUUCCUCCCCUGCAGAGAACUUUUCCUACAUUUUUUUCCUGCCACUGGGGCUGGGUUUUGUACGUGGGCUCAGUUCUUGCUCCUGUAGGAACAGAUCUCCAUGCACAAGGAGACACCACCGAGGCUCUCCCAUCCUGCAGGGUGGGUUUGUGAGUGAAGCUCAGGCCCAAAUCUCAGCUAAUAUUUUGAGCAGGUGUGCCUCCAGUGCUGCAGCAAAGUUUGUUCUCUUCGCACCACAAAGUGCAACUUGAAGAUUUUGAUUUUGUUUUGUUUGUGUUUUGUUUUUUGAUGGUUGUUGCUGGUUUUGCUGGCUCCUGUUCUGAGCAUCCCCAGAGAAGCUGUGAAGUGCUAAAUGCAGGACAGACACCAGCCUGCAGCCUUCCCCUCCUCGGGGAGCUGACAAGUGUCUUUUGUCCUUUGGGAGUUGAAAUUCUCAAAUGAAGCACUGCAUUAAUAGCAGCUUGUGACAAUGACAAAUAUUCCUGCUGAUCUCCAGAGUCUCUGCAAACCCUGGAGCAGCGAUCCCGGUUCUGCUCAAUGCCACUGACAGUUUAUUCUAAAAUAAGCUCUUUUCUUUUAUCAAAGGAGGUGAUAAGAAGUACAAUAAGCUGUGAUCUAGCCACUGCUGUAAUAAGGAAUCACCCUUCUUUAAACCAAAGUGUUAUAAAAAUCUUCUUCCCCCUAGACUAAACAAACAAUUAUUGAAUCGUGGGAAAUAAGUGACAGCUCUGCAACCUCUCAGCAUUCUCCUGGGAAAAGGAAUUUAUGUUUCCUGUAGCUCAGAGCACAUUUCAAAAUAAUUCAAGGCAACGAAUGGAAAAGGAUGGAAAGAAGUUUCAGGGGAAGUUAGAGCAACUCCUCUCUUGUCAGUGUAAGCAGAACAUCAGGGACAGCAGAAGGGGGGAGUUCCCCAGCGCUGCACCACCAGCAUGGCCAAAUAUUUUGGGUGUAAACAAGAGUUUCUUCCUGUUAACUCUCAUUUGUGCCUUCUUUAUUGCAAAGGAAAUGCUUUUUGGGGGGAAUUUUGGGGAGGAUUUAUGAAAUGUGGAUUGACUGUGGGAUAUGAUGGGACAAGGAUGCUGAAGGUGCCACCAGGGGUCUGUCAGCACCAAGCAGGAUUAACCCCCACCACAGUCAGGGCUAUGUUGUGGAAGAGGUUUGUCCUACCCUAGGAGCCAUUUGAGAAGCUGAGUCACUCUCUGAUAUGUAACCAAAGAGCAAGUGUGGCUGUUGUGAGAACUGUACAUUGCCAAGUGUUUUUCUGGAAGAAGCAUCUUGUGAUCAGGGCUGGUCAGGAGUAUCUCAAGGGAAGUGUGGGCAUGAUGACAUCCAUCCUUCUUGUGCUGCCAGAAUUAAACCUGUCCAUAAAACAGAUGGGGAGACACAGUGAACCAUUUUAAAGGAUGGCAGAGUUCCCGUGGCUUCACAGACUCCACUUAAGAAGAUGGAUACAGCAGUGCAGUAGUGCAGUUCAAUUUUGGAUUUUGCCUUUGUUGUUUGCUGGAUAACAGAGAAGUUGCCUUUAUAGCCAAUGCUGCUUCCAAGUGACAUGAAACUGCACCAGUAUUGUGUCUGCUGCUGCUGCUGGGAUGAUGGACAGCUUGCUUUUUCUCCUCACACAAAAUGAUGUUGCAGAACAGCACCACUGACCCAUGAAUUGUACCUGACAGUGUUUGCACUGCCACUGAGGCCACCAGACCUGCUGGGAACUGGAAAUCUCCAAAGCCAGCUACCAGGAGCUUCUUCACAAACCCGCAUUAGGCAGUAGCUGGAGUCACCCAUCAGAUCAUGUCACCCAUGGAGCUGCACAGGGUGAGGGUUUCCCUCUGUCCCCAAACUCCAGCAUGGAAACAACAUUCCUGCCAUCCUGGGAAAGAGGGAGAAUGAAGUUCAUCGUGGGGACGUUAAAUAUGAGCUGAAGCCAACUUUAUGCGGCAGAUGCACUCUUGGAGCUAGGCAUAUACUCUGCAGUUUUAUGCUUCAUUUUUACCAGUGUGAAACGAAAAUCAACAGUACAGAGCACAGUCCUCAAUUUUACUUUCUUCUGGUCUGACUGAACUGAUGGUUGUGGAAGGAUUUACUGAAUUCAAAUACAGCAAAACCACGAACUCCUGAUAUUUUGAUGAAUGUGCAACUGCCCUUUCCUGUAACCUCUCAGUUGGACUGCUGCUCUGUUAAAUUUUGGGAGAAAGAGAAAAUUCCUGCGUGGACCUGGCUCUCCACACUAAACCAUAUUCAAUCUCAAACUCAGGGGGACCAUUUACUCUUUUUUGUGCAGGCUCAGGUUUUUGUGCUCCCUCCAGGUAAUGCCUCUUGGCUGGAAGUGCUGGCGAAUCCAGGCUCUUCAGCAGCCACAGAAAGGCAGAGAGGACUCUAAAGCUGAUACACAGCAGCAGGAAGGACUCUAAAGCUGAUACAGAGCAGCCUCUUUCUUUCCAAUCCUUCCUCGUUUGUGCUUGACAGGAAUGAGUCUCACCCCUCCUAACUGGAGAGUUGCCUGUCAGACACAGGAGUUAGAGGUCACCCCUUAUCACUCUUGGCCAUCAAUUGAAAGUUUGCAAAGGGCUGCUGGCAGCAUCUUUUUCUUUCUUCUUUAUUGCUGAAAAUGUCAGAAAUGGAUCACUAUAAAGCCUCCUGGUAUAUGAAGGGAGGAACAAUGUCACCAAGUGCUGAUUCUGUCAUUCCUGAGGUUUUGUUCAGAUGUAUUUGUCAUCCCCAUUCAGACUUUACAGCUGAAAGAAGGUUGGAGGAGAAAGUGCUGUAAAUAUCUGUAAUUUACUACUGCAGUUUGUGGGAAAAGAAUCUUUAAAAAAAUUAUUUUACAUAUAUUUUUAGCACAGUACUUCCCUCAUACUUCAGUCACCUGCAAACCCUGGUGCAAUGUGGGAUACCUAGUUCUAGGAUGUGGGUCCAAAAUGCUGAAUAAAAUAAGAUUACACUGACACUUUAGUUUCAAGUAUGCUUUUCUCACACAUCAGUUUUCAACAGCCAUCCCUUCAUCCACAACCACAUUUCUUCCAUCUGGAUGUGCAGUGUGCAGUAGUUUUGCUUUGGGGCAUUUUUCUGCCAGGAGAUGUAAUUCAGGAGCAGAGUUUCUUUUGAGAACUGACAAAACUCAAUUGUUAUCCCAGUAAAGUCAUGGUUUCCUUGAGAUUUGUGCAUAAUCUCAGACUGGCGUUGUGAAACAUUUAUGUUAUGUCACCACAGUCCUGAGCACCUUAAAAUGUGAAGCAUCUGAAGGAUUUAUCCUAUGGCUGCUGCUAGAAUAUGUUAAUCUGGGAAAUCCUGAGCACAGGCCAGGGACAGAGAAGGGCACCUGUUUUGUCAUUCAUUUUGGGUUUAAACAAGCCAGGAGUGGUGCUGUAGUGAUUCUUCAUCUGCUUUUGUAUAUGAGGUACUUGUAGCCAAAUUCUGUUAGGAAACUCAAUUUCUUUGUCUAAAGUUAAUUUUUCAACUUUGUGCAAAACCACCUACUGCUAAAGAACAUCUUCCCACUUCUCUUUUAAUAGUAAGUGCCCAAAGCCUGCACCUGUUUUUAGAUACAUCAUUAAGUUUAAUCUCGCAGCCUUAUUAAACAAAUAUUUGUCUAUAGAGUAAACUUUUCCUUUGGGUUCAAGGGGAAAGAAAUUAACACUGUGUACAAAGAGUGGAGCUCUUGUUUGGAAAGGGUCCAAAGCCUCUAACUCCCAUAUUUCAGUUGAGAAAAGUUGAAUUCAGCAUUUCCAUGGAAGUGAUAGUCUUCAUCUAAGACCUUCACACGGACAGUAUCAGUCCUGCCGAAACCGUGGAUGGUGAUACUCUGUGGAAGUCUUCCUCUCACCAGGCACGGAUGCUCAGCAAUUCUUGAAUCUGCUCCCGACCUCAGUCAGAGCUGGAGAUGCACAGGAUGUUACAGGCCAGGCUCAGCAGCCACUGAAAUUGGGAAUUUGGCCCAUUUCCCCCUGCUAAACACAUCCCAAGGAAGCUCCGACAAAGCGAGGGGGGUGAGGUGUGAAUUGUGCUUCUGAAAGGAGGAUUAGCUGAGUUUUCCUUGUCUGUCUGCUUUGACAACCACGGAAAUGAAUCCUUAGGAUGCCUGUUCUGUCCAGAAUCACUGUUGUUCAAAAAUCUGUGGCUUUUCAGGGAGAAUAGAGUUUCUGUGCGCAGGUAAAGAUUCAGAGCAUCCGCUAUGAUUGUCAGUUUUACAGGUCACCCACCCUGCGAAGGAUGCAUUCAUGGAGAUUUCUAGUCAACAGGAUAAGAAAAAUAAUGCUUGUUUGUUUGUUUAUUUAUUUAUUUUUAUCCUCUUAAGUCACUCUUGACACUGGAACCGAAAACGAGGAACUCAAACCUCACUGUCCUGGUGAUUCUAGCUGUGGCCUUGGCAAACCCAUGUUUGUAAAACACCCCUAUUUAUCCUCUAAUCUUGUGUGUCAUGUCUUUUACAAAUAAGAAAGAGACUGAACUCCUCUUUGUCCUUUGAAAAAAAAAACAAAAAAAAAAGGCGUUCCUUGAGACUCCUAGAACAUUUGGAACCUGAGGAGAGUGCUGUAAUUGCUAAUUACUGCUGUAUGUUAGCAGUGCUAAUAAACAUGCUUCUCAAGUUAUUACUGAUACUCAGAAGAGCUCCGGGCCAGUAAUAAUACAUCUAAGAAUUUAAAUAGACUGCUAAAGUGUUUAUACAGCAAAGGUAUUUUUGAAAUGCAACAGCAACUCACCACCAUUUCAUAUUAUACACAACAGCACAGGAAAUUUAAUCAAAAGAGCAAAAUGUCAACAGAACAGCUGACAAGCUUUAAGGUAUUCACGCUUUUCAAGCACGGAAAGUUCUCAACAGCAGUAGUCUCUUGUACAAAGAUUUAUUCCCUCUGAAGACUUUUCUCAUGGCUCAUAAAGAGUGAUGGAUGAAGUUAAUUUUUAGUUUAAUCUCUUUCUUCUCAGUUCAGUAAUUUCUUUGAUACUUUGCAAAAAAUUAGUGAGAAUAUGGAACCACUCACCAGUCAUUAGUGAUUGUGUGUUACAGACUGUGCACAGGCCACAACAGGUUGCCUGACAUUUUGAAAAGUGGAAGAAAGUUUUCCUUUUUUUUCCCUUUUUUUUAAAAGCAGCAUUUUAAUAUUUUAAUGUUCUGCACAACAUAUAAAGAAUUUUUUUAAGUGUGGCAAAGAAAGAGCAUUGAACUGUGUGUCUAAACUUUUGCUUUUCUUGGGUUUUAUGUUCUAAAAACUCUGUAUUGUGCCAUCUUUUCUUGGCACAUUGCUCUUUAACUAUGUAUCUAUACUUGGAAUGGCAGAAAAUGUCUUCUCGCCCAAGUCAUGUUUUUCUUUAGCUCAGUGAACAAUAUUGCAUAGGAUCAAAGCCGUGCUGAUGUUCUAUUCCAAUCUUCCAUCUUGCAUCUACGGCUGCUUUAUGUUGGCUUAAGAAGUAGAAUCAACCAUUUUGCUCUUUUAAUACAUUUCAAAAAUAUUUUUGACUUCAAAGCUUGCAAUUAGUGGAGCUCAUUGAAUUUAGAACUUUCCAGCUCUUCUUUUUGAAGGAAUCAUCUAUUUUAAUUAGUUUUCUUAUCAGAACAGGGAAAAACAAUGGAGAAAAAGAGAAAACAGCUAUAUGUGUAGGAGAUAAUUUUUAUUCUUUUGAAGUGCCACAUUGAAAAUUUGCCCCUCAAAUAUCAACUUGAAUGAAACAAAGCAGGAAAUUGCUUUUGGGCAAAGAUAGUGGAAUGUCAGUCAGCUUUGGCUGUGGAAUGGGUGCACUUCUUCCUUCAGAUCAUUGAGGAGGCUGUGGUGAAGUCACCCACAGCCCCUGACAAAAAGAUAUUUCUUAUGCUGUAGUUACUCUGUUAUGCUUGUACAUGGUGAAGAAGCCCAUAGAAACAGCCCAUUUGCUUUAGGCUUGUAUUUCACUUGAGGAAACACAGAAAAUUUAUAAUUUUUAAGUCCAGGAAAAGCACUGAGCUAGGACAAUGCAAUUAAAAUCCAUAGAACAUUAUAAAUAAGGUGCAUUUGUAAAAGCAGAAAUAUGUAGGAAAUUUAAAGUAUUUUCUAUGAGAUACAGAUACUGCAACACCUGUUGGUGCUUUAGCAACAUUAAUUUACUUUUUAAUACAUGACAUUUUUUUUUCACUAGGCUUAGUGCCAUUCCAUUUAUAUUUUCUAACUAUGGCUAGAAGUAUCAACAAAAAUUAUAUCCAAAAAGAAUACUUUUACUUUUCUUCUUACCUUUUUUGGAUUUAUUGUUAAUGCUUUGGGUAUUUUUCCUCUUCAACAUGGUUCUUUGCAGUGAGGACCUGCCACAUGUCAGAAAAUCACAGUCCAGGGCGCCAUCAGUGCAGUGGAUCCCCUGAAUAAAUGCCAUUUAUCUGUAGGAAUUUUACCAGCUGCUUUUCCUGUUUGGAGCUCUUGCUUAGCUCAAUCACAUCAAGAUGCACUCCUAG